UCCAGCUUCCCAUCCACCAGGACCCUCAAGUCUUUUCCAGCAGGGCUGUGCUUAGUCCUUUCAUCCCCCAUCUUGUAUUGGUAGUGAGAGUUGCUGCAGCCCAGGCACAAGAUAUUGCAUUUGAAUUUGUUGAGCCUCAUGAUGUUCACCUGGGUCCACUGCUCAAGCCUGUCUAGGUCCCUCUGGAUGGCAUCCUGUCUCUCAGAUGUGUUGACUGCACCCCACAGCUUGGUGUCAUCAGCAAACUUGCUGAGGGUGCCCUCAGCCUACUGUCAGUGUUACUGAUGAAGAUACUGACAGAGUAUCACUCCCAGCACCGAUCCCUGUGGGACUCCUCAUCACUGAUCCCCAUCCAGACACUGAGCCAUUGACCUGUCCCACUCUCUGGACUCAAUCCUGCACCCACUCUUUGUUCACUGAUCAGACUGCUCAUCAAAUCCAUACCUUUCCAAUUUAGAGAGAAGGAUGUUGUGGGGUCCAUGUUAGGCCUUACUGAAGUUGAGGCGGAUGACAUCAUUGGCUCUCCCCCUUAUGUGUUGUCACAAUGACACCAUCAUAGAAGGCCACUGGGCUGGUCAAGCAGGAUUUGCCCUUGGUGAAGCCAUACUGCUUCUUCCACAUCACCUCCCUGCCUUCCAUGUACCUGAGCACAGCUUUCAGGAGGAUUUGUUCCAUUAAAAAAUACCAAACCCAGCCUGCAGCUCAGCACAGCUGCACACUGAGGUGCCAGCAGUCUGCCUUUACCAUCCCAUAGGUGGAAAGGGCAAGGCUCCAGUCCCACCCCUGGGAAGAGCAGGAGAAAAGUGCUUCUGGUUCUGGAGUUGCACGGCCACGCACUGCAGACAGUCAGGCUGUGAGACUUCAAGGGCUGCAAAGUGUUAGGUCUCACCCUGCCCCGCAGCUGCGGGCUGUCCAAUGCAUCCACUGUUUGCAGAGCCCCGGCUCCGCUGUCAGGCACUGUGUCUCUCUUUGGCUUCCACUUUAUUUAUGAGAACUAGCCGGGAGGUUGAGAAAUCACAGGCCAAUGUUUGCCAGUUGAGUUCGCUGGAGAGGGGGGUUACGAAAAGCUGGAGACACUGGAAAAUCCAAUUAAAAAUCAAAAUCAAAAUGUGUCCUGGAAAGCAAGUUGCGUAAUGGGAAUUAACAAAGCAACCCGGCCGCUGGAUGGGAGCCUUCAAGGAGAACCUCACUGCUGGGAGCGCUGCCUCGCUGCUGGGCUGCGCGUCCCGGAGCCGCUGACUUUUUGCCCUUUGUAAAGGGGUUGACAGUGGGUCUGUUCUGCAGGCGGCCCACCCCGGCCCUGAGCUCGGGUCUGUGACGUGCCAUCAGAGCAUACGGCAAAUCAAAAGGAUUAGGAGGGCGAUCGGUAUCUGAGGGGGCCGUUGGGGUAUUAAGAUUCUUCCCCACAGCGUUCGCGAAACGCCGUAAAACCGCAGAUCUUAAAAGGCAUCGGGUAAAGCCAACAAAAUCCCUUUUGGAGUCCAACUCCUGCAGCUGCGGGGUGAAAAUCCCGCCGUGCCGGCCUUUCCCAUCCCAGCAUUUUAUUUUUUUUUUUUUCCUUUUCUUUUUUCCCCUUUGUUUUUUGCCCUCCUUUCCAGCCUCUGGCCGCAGCCACCGCUCGGGGCCGCGGUUGUGAUGCUGCGGGCACGGCGCUGCCUCCCGGCCCCCGGGGAGGCUGCGUGUGUGUUUAGGAGGUGCCGUUUCCCACAGCUCUGAUCUAAUUCAGCUGUAAUUCAAUCUCCGUGUGACCAACGCUCCGCCAGCGCUCUCCCACCCGCCGGCAGGCUCCUCUCUCACAGGCUGUGUGUGUGUUACACAUUUACACUGUCAAUCUGGCGGGCUCCCCUCAAACAACCCCUCUGUGCCGCUUUGCCGUGUCAAUCAGUCCGUGCCGCGGGGGCCGGCGCCCGCCGCCCCUCCCUUGAGCAGCGCGGUUACCCUAUACCUGCCACUCAGGGCUGCCAAAGGGCUGCUGCUGAAUGGCGUUUGUGUGCGGCCACAAAGGGCCAAGGCAGCUGAGGCAGAUAAGGCUGAGAACCUGGAGCAGAUGUAAAAGCGAUCAGACCUGGCUUUCCGCGGACGCUGGGCUCCCGCAAAGAUUUAUGACCCCUUUUAACCCCGUUUUAAAUACGGUAAACUAAAAAUAGGAUGGAACGAGACUGCCCGGCUCUCGGGUAGAAAUUCAGCCGGAGGGAUGGAUGGGCAGACCCCCCGGCUGCGCUCCGUUCCCCAUCGCCACACCGCGCCGUGCUGCCCGUCAUCGGGGCGCUCCUCUGUGAUCUCAUUAUAACCCACAUCCUCCAACCCUCGCCGGAUGCCAGCUGACCCCUCGCCCUGCAGCUCCCGAUGCGGGGCCGGCAGCUCGUAGGGCGAGCGGUGCUGGGGACGGGAGCUCAACACAACAAUGCGCCGGCCUUGGAAGUGCCGGGCUGUCAUUGUCAUCCCAGACACAAUGAUGGGAGCCUCGCUCGGGAUCGGUUUCUUUUGGCAGACAGCUUUGAACUCUGCUUUUUGCUUCCUGCUUCUCCGUUAAUUAUAAGUUUCUUCUCCUUCCCACUGACAGACGAAUCCUCCGGGGGCGAGAGAAACCGAGGAGAUCGAGGCUGGAGGUAAAAGAGGAAAGUCUUCCAAACAGUGGAACAAAGAGUGGUCAGCUUGUGGCUGUGCCUCCACACUCCCACACAGGCACCUGUGUCCCAAAGCCUCCAACAGCUCAAAGGAGGAAAAGAAACAUGGCUUCCAGCCUGGGAUGGAGAGAGAAACAUUAGAAUGAGACACCACGGACUCCACAGUUGUGGGAUUUAGAUGACCCGUGUUGUCCAGACAGGCAAAGAUGGUAUAAAGGUGCAGCCUUGAUAGUGAGAAGAGUGUGGGUCUCACAGUGCCCAGACCAGUGGAGAAGCCAAAGGGGAGCUGUAGACAAACAUGGCAUUACUGAGCUCAAGAAAUUAAAACUCACUGCUUUCUUAACUUGGAGGAAUAACAUAAAUUAUUUGGCAAAUCAGACAUCAAAACUUAUUGCAAUGUACUACACCUGCUUGGGAUCCCUUUGUUCAACACAAAUCCCCAGUUCUUCCAUAGCAGGUGAUCUCCUACUGCAGCCCAAGGUGAGAGUGCGUUCCUGUUAGCUUUAAGGAGAUGUAUCAGCCAUUCUGGUCAGUGCUGACUCUUCUUUAUAUAAAUAAAUGUGCUCACACAGAAAGAUACCCAUGACGGCAAUUCUGGAUCUCAGAAUCACAGAAUGACCCGGGUUGGAAGGGACCUCAAGGAUCAUGUAGUUCCAACCCCCCUGCCUGGCAGGGCCACCAAACAUACACAUUUACUAGAUCAGGUUGCCCAGGGCCCCGUCCAACCUGGUCUUGAACACCUCCAAGGACGGGGCGUCCACAACCUCCCUGGGCAGCCUGUUCCAGGACCUCACCACUCUAAGGUCCCCCCCUGAGAAAAACAGUGACUUCCAAAGGAACAACUGAAACCCAUCCAGAGUUGCCAGGAUUUGACUGUGUUUCUCUAUGUUCAGUGAAGAACGAAGCUUACAGCUACUUCAGCCUCAUUUCAAGAAGAACCGACCUAUUUGUGAAUCUGCCUAAAGUGAUGUGAGAACUGGAACAGCCUGGUCAGGUCCUGCAGCCACCUUUCCUGUGUUUAAAAGGUUUCAUAAGGAUCUUGGGCAAGACGAGGAGUCAGGCAAGAAUCUAAAGAUUUCUGAGAUAAUUGGUAUUUUUUAAUGAUAAAACAGCAUGAACAAAAGUUCCAACAGUUUAUCUCCAUGGAGACAAAUAAAUUACCUGCUGCUACAGAAAAUCAACCUGGUUUGCACCUUAGAUAUUUAUAAGGAAUGAAAAAAAUAACGAUAGGGCAAGGGCUCCCCAGUUAGCAGCUGGCAGACAAGA